rnacentral:tRNA from 1 species
CAAAAUGUAGCUAAAUUAGUAAAGCACCUCCCUUACACCGAGGGUAAACCCGUGCAAGUCGUGUCAUUUUGA